rnacentral:snRNA from 1 species
AUGUGUUACAGCUCUUUUACAAUUUGUCUAGUAGAUUUUUCCAGCUAAACCCCAAGGAAAAACAAA